AGAGUUUGAUCAUGGCUCAGAAUGAACGCUAGCGGCGUGCUUAACACAUGCAAGUCGUACGAGAACUCUUUAGCUUGCUAAAGAUAGUAAAGUGGCGCACGGGUGAGUAACGCGUGGGUAAUUUACCUCUGAAUUUGGGAUAACUCCGCGAAAGCGGGGCUAAUACCGGAUAAUAUUUCAGGAUCUUCGGGUUUUGAAAUCAAAAGUGGCCUCUACAUGUAAGCUACUGUUUGGAGAUGAGCCCGCGUACCAUUAGCUUGUUGGUAGGGUAAUGGCCUACCAAGGCUACGAUGGUUAGCUGGUCUGAGAGGAUGAUCAGCCACACUGGAACUGACACACGGUCCAGACUCCUACGGGAGGCAGCAGUGGGAAUUUUGCGCAAUGGGGGAAACCCUGACGCAGCAACGCCGCGUGAGUGAUGAAGGCUUUCGGGUCGUAAAGCUCUGUCAAGUGGGAAGAACAUGAGAAAUGUUAAUAUCAUUUUUCACUGACGGUACCACUGAAGGAAGCACCGGCUAACUCCGUGCCAGCAGCCGCGGUAAUACGGGGGGUGCAAGCGUUAUUCGGAAUUAUUGGGCGUAAAGGGCGCGUAGGCGGUCUUUUAAGUCAGAUGUGAAAGCCCGGGGCUUAACCCCGGAAGUGCAUUUGAAACUGAAAGACUUGAGUAUGGGAGAGGGAAGUGGAAUUCCUGGUGUAGAGGUGAAAUUCGUAGAUAUCAGGAGGAACACCGGUGGCGAAGGCGACUUCCUGGACCAAUACUGACGCUGAGGCGCGAAGGCGUGGGGAGCAAACAGGAUUAGAUACCCUGGUAGUCCACGCAGUAAACGAUGAACACUAGGUGUAGCGGGUAUUGACCCCUGCUGUGCCGCAGUUAACGCAUUAAGUGUUCCGCCUGGGGAGUACGACCGCAAGGUUAAAACUCAAAUGAAUUGACGG
rnacentral:rRNA from 1 species